rnacentral:ncRNA from 1 species
UGAUUAAUUGAUUUUAUUAAUUAAGAUUAUGUAUAUGAUUUUAUUACAUGUAAAUUUUUAAGAGUUUAAUUAAUUUUCUAAAAGAAAAUUAAUUAAUUUAUUCACAGUUUAUAGUUUUAAGUUUUAAAUUUCUUUAGAUUUAGAAAAUUGUUGUAGAAUUGUUUAAUUUUGUGCCAGCAGACGCGGUUAUACAAAUAAUUCAACUUAAUUAUUUUUGCUUUUAUUUAUUUAUUUAUAAUUGUUUUAAUUUUUGGAAUUAUUAAGUAAAAUUUUAAUUUUGAUUAAAUGGUUGGUUUAAGAUUAAUAUUAAAAUUAAAAGUUAAACUAGGAUUAGAUACCCUAUUAUUUUGAUUGUAUUAUUACAGAGCAUAUUACUAAUAGUUAAAGUCUUUAAAUUAAAAAGAUUUGGCGGUAGUUUAAAUUUUUCAGAGGAACCUGUUUUUUAAUUGAUAAUCCACGUUGAAUUUUACUUUUGUUUUGGCUUAUAUAUCUCUGUCAUUGAGUGUAUUAUUAGAUUAAUAUUUUCCAAAAUUUUUAUUAAGAUAAUGUCAGGUCAAGGUGUAGUUAUAUAAAAGUAUAAAAUGGGUUACAUUUAAUUGUAAUUUAUAGGAUUAAUAAAUUGUAAUAUUAUUAUAAAAAAGGAUUUGAAAGUAAAUUUAUAUUAUUUAUUAAAUUUGAUUAAAUUUCUAAGCUAUGUACAUAUUGCCCGUCACUCCUAUUUUUAAGUUAGGAUAAGUCGUAACAAAGUAAUUCUACUGGAAAGUGGUAUUUGAAGUUAAU